AUGGCUUUUGCUAGUAGGAUGGGGAUCGUGCUGAGGAGGGCCUCGGGGUCCUCGAAUUCGUCGCUGCUCCAGGCAGUAAGGUGCAUGUCUUCUUCCAAGCUUUUUGUUGGAGGACUAUCGUAUGCCACAGAUGACCCAACUCUGAGGGAUGCCUUUUCUGGCUAUGGGGACGUCCUUGAAGCUAGAAUCAUCAUGGACAGAGAGUCUGGCAGGUCAAAGGGUUUUGGAUUUGUUACUUACGCAUCCACCGAAGCUGCCGCGGCUGCCAUUAGUGCUAUGGAUGGCAAGGACCUUCACGGAAGAAUGAUAAAGGUAGACUAUGCCAGUGACCGUGCUGGUGGGACACGUGGAGGUGGAUAUGGCACUGGUAAUUACGGAAGUGGCGGAUAUGGCGGCGCGGGAUUUGGAAGCGGCGGCAGUGGAUAUGCUGGCAAUGGUGGUGGUUACGGAAGUGGCGGGCAUGCCAGUGGUGGUGGAUAUGGUAAUGCGGGAUAUGGUGGUUACAGUAGUGCUGCAGGUGGUGGCGAGUAUUCUAGCAUCAACAACAAUGCUGUUGCUGGUGGCCAUGGCGGCGGUGAUGGAAGCCACAAUAAUGCCAGCACUUCGGGCGGAAGUGCUGGUAGCUAUGGCGGCGCUGGUGGGUACAAUGCCCCCAACACCUUUGGUGCCGGAAACUAUAACAGCGGAGCUGGCGACAAUGCAGUCUUGGGUGGAAGCACUGGCAGUUUCAGCAGCGGGCAUUCUGCCGUUGCUGGUGGCAACAACGGCGGCAACUUUGCUGGAAAUGUUGGCAGCAUCGGCAACUUUACUGGCAGCCGCAAUGGCAGCAGCUAUGCUGGAGAAUUUGGCGGCGCUGAGGUCCUUGGAGCUAGCAAGGUGCAGUACAACGGCCAAGACGACCUGCUGGGUGCUGACUACUUCUCUGAGUCGGAGGACCGUCAUGCGGGCAGGUCAGCGUAA
rnacentral:rRNA from 1 species